rnacentral:lncRNA from 1 species
GGAAGUAGGAAUAUGGUAUUAUAAACGACUAACUGAAAAAUCAGGUUACAAAACUGAAUAUUCCAUAUAAUUUCACUUAAAAAAUAAAGAAAUGUACUGAGUUGCUCACCGUGGUUUUCUGGGUAGGAAAAUUAUGGAGAGCUUUUCUUUCUUUUUCAUCCUUUCCUCUAUUUGCUAAUUUUCUGCAAUGAAUACAGAUUUAUAAUCAGAAAAAUGACAGAAGAUUAUAUGCUGAUUUACAAAAAGCAGGCGUGAAAGCACGUCCCCCCCUCACGUCUCUGUAAUGGAUCUGGACACCUUUUCUCUGAGUUCCAUCUCACAGGCUGAUCUUUUAAAUAGACCUCAUUCCUCCAAUUUCCUGCAGUCAUGAAGUUAGACAUUUCUGGGAUUCCGUUUCCUGAAAUGCAAUGUUUCCUGAAUGCCAUUAAGGUGCUUCUCCUGGGAGUUGAACCUGCCUUUGGAUGGAGCCCUUUCCUGUGGAAACACGGGAAUCGGUUCUAAGAAGCAGUAAGAAAGCCAAACAAAGCCACAGCAGAAGCACCUGGCACUGUUUAGAAUGCUGCACAUCUGAGACUAUCAGUGGUUGCAGAGAGGGGGCUAAGGGUCGGGCUUGAUGACGGUGUGUGACCACUCAUGGGACAGAGUGGUCUUUAACUGGAGGGAAAAUGCUCGUGCCUUGAUGUGAAGUGGGAAAAGACCAAUACAAAGACAUGGUGGUAUCACUGCAAGCAAAAGACUGCUUACAGACAAGAGGAAAGACUGGAAGGAAACACCCAGAAUGGCCAGUGGUCAGCUUUGGGACAUGAGUAUGACUGAUUUAAUGUAUUCCUUUAUAAUUUAGAAAAUGUUCUGUGGUGGGCUUUUGACAAUUGUUGAAUAAAGGUUGUAUAACAAAAGUGAAACAACAGAAUUUUGAGUGAAGGAAUGAGCAAAAGCGCUGGGGCAGGGGUGUUUCUUUUCAGUUUCUACAACUGCUGUAACAAAACGCCACCAACAGCACCUGAGAACACCACAUAUUUACUGUUUUACAGUUUUGGAGACAGGAAAUUUGAAAUCAAUCUGACUUGGCUAAAAUUAAUGUGUCAGCAGGAUGCAGUGGCUAUGCACUUUGGGAGGCCCAGGUGGGAAGAUCGCUUAAGUCCCG